UACGGAGGGUGCAAGCGUUAUCCGGAUUUACUGGGUUUAAAGGGCGCGUAGGCGGCUUGCCAAGUCAGUGGUGAAAUCCCGCAGCUUAACUGCGGAAGUGCCUUUGAUACUGGCGAGCUCGAGGGAGGUAGGGGUAUGUGGAACUUCUGGUGAAGCGGUGAAAUGCGUUGAUAUCAGAAGGAACGCCGGUGGCGAAAGCGACGUACUGGACCUCUUCUGACGCUGAGGCGCGAAAGCUAGGGGAGCAAACGGG
rnacentral:rRNA from 1 species